GGGUUCGUAGCUCAGCAGGUAGAGCGCCUGCCUUUUAAGCAGGAUGUCCCGGGUUCGAAUCCCGGCGAACCCA
rnacentral:tRNA from 1 species